rnacentral:rRNA from 1 species
CUGAGAGGAUGACCAGCCACACUGGAACUGAGACACGGUCCAGACUCCUACGGGAGGCAGCAGUGGGGAAUAUUGCACAAUGGGCGCAAGCCUGAUGCAGCCAUGCCGCGUGUAUGAAGAAGGCCUUCGGGUUGUAAAGUACUUUCAGCGGGGAGGAAGGGAGUAAAGUUAAUACCUUUGCUCAUUGACGUUACCCGCAGAAGAAGCACCGGCUAACUCCGUGCCAGCAGCCGCGGUAAUACGGAGGGUGCAAGCGUUAAUCGGAAUUACUGGGCGUAAAGCGCACGCAGGCGGUUUGUUAAGUCAGAUGUGAAAUCCCCGGGCUCAACCUGGGAACUGCAUCUGAUACUGGCAAGCUUGAGUCUCGUAGAGGGGGGUAGAAUUCCAGGUGUAGCGGUGAAAUGCGUAG